rnacentral:rRNA from 1 species
UGGGGACUGCGGAGUCUUG